CCGCGGUGAAUACGUUCCCGGGCCUUGUACACACCGCCCGUCAAGCCAUGGAAGCCGGGUGUACCUAAAGUCGGUAACCGUAAGGAGCCGCCUAGGGUAAAACUGGUGACUGGGGCU
rnacentral:rRNA from 1 species